rnacentral:rRNA from 1 species
UAGUUGGCGGGGUAACAGCCCACCAAGGCGACGAUGGUUAGCUGGUCUGAGAGGAUGAUCAGCCACACUGGAACUGACACACGGUCCAGACUCCUACGGGAGGCAGCAGUGAGGAAUUUUGCGCAAUGGGCGGAAGCCUGACGCAGCAACGCCGCGUGAGUGAAGAAGGCCUUCGGGUCGUAAAGCUCUGUCAAAUGGGAAGAACCUGUGCAUGGUAAACAAGUGUGCACACUGACGGUACCAUUGAAGGAAGCACCGGCUAACUCCGUGCCAGCAGCCGCGGUAAUACGGAGGGUGCGAGCGUUAUUCGGAAUUAUUGGGCGUAAAGAGCACGUAGGCGGCAGUGCAAGUCAGGUGUGAAAACCCGGGGCUUAACCUCGGAAGCGCAUUUGAAACUGUGCUGCUUGAGUAUGGGAGAGGGAAGUGGAAUUCCUGGUGUAGCGGUGAAAUGCGUAGAUAUCAGGAGGAACACCGGUGGCGAAGGCGACUUCCUGGACCAAUACUGACGCUGAGGUGCGAAGGCGUGGGUAGCAAACAGGAUUAGAUACCCUGGUAGUCCACGCAGUAAACGGUGAUCACUAGGUGUAGCGGGUAUUGACCCCUGCUGUGCCGCAGUUAACGCAUUAAGUGAUCCGCCUGGGGAGUACGGCCGCAAGGUUAAAACUCAAAGGAAUUGGCGGGGGCCCGCACAAGCGGUGGAGCAUGUGGUUUAAUUCGACGCAACGCGAAGAACCUUACCUGGAUUUGACAUCUGCGGGAGUGCUAUGAAAGUAGGAUGUGCCCUUCGGGGAGCCGCAAGACAGGUGCUGCAUGGCUGUCGUCAGCUCGUGUCGUGAGAUGUUGGGUUAAGUCCCGCAACGAGCGCAACCCUUGUCUUUAGUUACCAGCAUUUCGGAUGGGGACUCUAAAGAAACUGCCCCGGUUAACGGGGAGGAAGGUGGGGAUGACGUCAAGUCCUCAUGGCCUUUAUGUCCAGGGCUACACACGUGCUACAAUGGGUUGUACAAAGGGUAGCGAGCCUGUGAAGGAGAGCCAAU